AGUAGGUCACUGGGAGUGAUGGUAAGUGAGGCCACUCCUGGUUCCACCCCUUGGUUCCUGGACCCAUGUUUUGUUUUAUUAUAGUAG